rnacentral:rRNA from 1 species
UACGUAGGGUGCGAGCGUUAAUCGGAAUUACUGGGCGUAAAGCGUGCGCAGGCGGCUUUGCAAGACAGAUGUGAAAUCCCCGGGCUCAACCUGGGAACUGCAUUUGUGACUGCAAGGCUAGAGUACGGCAGAGGGGGAUGGAAUUCCGCGUGUAGCAGUGAAAUGCGUAGAUAUGCGGAGGAACACCAAUGGCGCAGGCAAUCCCCUGGGCCUGUACUGACGCUCAUGCACGAAAGCGUGGGGAGCAAACAGG